rnacentral:rRNA from 1 species
AUGGGUAGAGCUAAUGCUAAUCCUAUUUGGAGCAAGAUAUGGAAGCUAUCUUGUCCGGCAAAGGUAAAAUUUUUCGUCUGGCGUACAUUGCAUGGUACCCUCCCAUGCCGAGUUACGCUUGCCAAUAGACACGUGAAAGUCUCGCCCAGAUGCCCAUCAUGUUCUAAUGGGCCAGAAGACACAAAACACGUCUUGUUUCUGUGUCAGAAGGCAAAACAGGUCUGGGCUAAGUUAGGUUUGCAUGAAGUGAUCAAUACAGCUUGUGCUAUCGACCGGGCGGGAGAGGCAGUUCUUGAAUUUUUACUACUUAUGCGAGAUCAAGAAAUAUCUGAAUUGGGCAUCCAGAACGCAUGUGAAUUGAUCGCAAUAACAACUUGGUAUUUAUGGUGGGAUAGACGCAGACUAGUUCAUGAAGGAAAGUCUCAAGAUGCAUAUCAAACUUCGAUGGCGGCUCGUGCUAUAACCGCAAACUAUGUCAAAGCAAACUCCCCUAAGGCAAUCAGUAAAACAGGGGGAUGGCUUAGACCUCCUAUGGUUUUUGUGAAGCUAAAUGUUGAUGCUUAUUUUGACCAUGAUCUGCUUAGAGGAACGGCGGGGGUAGUCCUCAGAGAUGACAAAGGAAGGUUCAUUGUAGGCGGAAGCUGGAGGAUCGACUGGUGUGCUGAUGUACUAACAUCAGAAGCAAUGGCGCUAAGGUUUGGCCUUAUCCUAGCACAGAAGGCGGGGUGUAAUCGCCUUAUUGUCAACUCGGAUAAUUUGGAAGUGAUUGACACAAUGAAAAAUGGAGGACAAUCAGCAAGAGUGGCGGCGGCAGUGUUCGAUGAUUGCUAUUUUAUGUCUUGUGAAUGUACUGUUACGAGGUUUGAACAUUGUAAUAGGGAAGCAAAUAAGGUUGCUCAUGAAAUUGCUAGGCUAGCGAAUUUUUUUUGUAACUAG